rnacentral:lncRNA from 1 species
AUGGCUUUAAUACAAGAUGCAACCCUUUUCUGGGAGUUAUUGCACCCAGUGGCUUUGAUUGGCCCAGCUCUUAUCAAUUACUUCUCAAUAACUUAUCCCUAUAGUUUUCCUGCCCAACACACAGCCUCUUAUUUACAACAUGCUGCAGCUAGAGAUGGGCACCCACCUCGGUUCAGAGAUUUGUGCCAGUUGCCUUCCCCCACUCCCCAGCUGGAUCCUCUGCUUACCAGUCAGUGUGUACUCCCCCUCUUCAGCUGUGCAACCAGUCUCUGGCAAGAGCACAUGCCUCCCUGCCUUGCCCCCUUGGCUGAUCGCCCACUCAGGCUGAGGUUUGUGCCCAUCACUAGCUGUAGCCAAUGGUGCUCAUCCACAAGCAGAAUGGACACCACUGGUAGAAUAAGUCGCAAACAUCUCAGUGAUUCUCCAUCCUUCUCUUUUCUGAGUGCAAAGCUAAAAUCACUAAACUGACUAAUUUUCCUAUUAAUGACCAUUUAUGUUGUCUCAGAAUGACGAGACAGCUUAGUAACAUUUUCAGUCUUGUGAGGUUCUUUGCCUCCAAGCAAGAAUGAAGCAAUGAGCACCCCCCAUCCCCAAAGUUUCAACAGUGAAUUCAAAAAUCUUUGUGCUAAACCAGUCUUUUCCCUUCUUGAAGCUAAGCCCAUAUAUAAACAUCAAGCACAGAAAAUCUGUCUGAUGGAUUAACACGAUAACAAGUAACCCAUCCAUUAAAAAAAUCAUGCAACAAGGCAGCAGCUACUGUAGUUUUGCACUAUUUGUGUUAUUAGUACAAAAUUGUUAUCAUAAAGUGAAACAUCUAGUUGAGACUAAGAGGAAGCUUCUCACUAUCUUGCAGAUGUGGAGGAAAAUGUUGCAGUUCUACAAGUGGCGAUUUAGACCCUAGUUGACAAACCUUUCAGAGCAGAGCUAGAGAGGUGUGAGAUCUAUAGGGGGAGAAAAGGAAGGGGAGAUUGAUUAUGUUACACAAGCAGACAUCUACGCCAGCAAUCCUGGUUACAGCCCAAUGCUACUGGAAUGAUGAAUGAUUUAAUCAUGUAGCCAGCCUAAAAUACAUGACUGUCAAAAAGUAGAGAAAAUAAUGAGAAAUUACGGCAAGUAGGACUUUUUAAACUGAGAGUUCAACUGCAUGUAAAGUGGUCUAGAAUACAUUGCAGCCUCACAUUAUUGUGACAAUAGCCUUCAGUGGAAGUUAAUGAUACCAGACAUGCUAAUGGUAUCUGGAUAGAGUAUGCAUCUGAACAACAGAGAGCCAGUAUAGUCAGAGUGAGAUGUAAUUCUUUCAUGAUGUAGGAAUAAGUGGUCCCUAAAUGGUAUGGAAGUGAUUAAAACGAGCAAGUCAUUCUAUAUUGAAGACUUCCGAAAAUGUUCUGUCAGUCCAGCAUAAAGCCUGCUCCUAAGUAUCACAAGGAUCUCCGUAGUUAAAAGUUUAGUAAUAAAAAUUUGGGUCUGUUUCA